rnacentral:rRNA from 1 species
UACGGGGGGGGCAAGCGUUGUUCGGAAUUACUGGGCGUAAAGGGCUCGUAGGCGGCCAACUAAGUCAGACGUGAAAUCCCUCGGCUUAACCGGGGAACUGCGUCUGAUACUGGAUGGCUUGAAUCCGGGAGAGGGAUGCAGAAUUCCAGGUGUAGCGGUGAAAUGCGUAGAUAUCUGGAGGAAUACCGGUGGCGAAGGCGGCAUCCUGGACCGGCAUUGACGCUGAUGAGCGAAAGCUAGGGGAGCAAACGGG